GCCAAACGUCUAAAGCUUCAUGUGCUGGGC
rnacentral:piRNA from 1 species